CCCCCUGAAGGGUCGUCCAAGACCAGGACGUUGAUAGGUCGGGUGUGGAAGCGCAGCAAUGCGUUAAGCUAACCGAUACUAAUUGCCCGUGCGGCUUGACCCU
rnacentral:rRNA from 1 species